rnacentral:lncRNA from 1 species
CGUCAGCGGCCUCCAGGGUUGCUCCAGCCGCGAAUCCCGCUGCCCUUUGCCCCGCGGGCCUCCCAAGGCAGCCCCCUGUUAGCCCGACCGGCUUCGAAGCCCGCGCCGGUUGCGGAUCCUCCGCCGCGCCCACCUGUCAGCGCCUCGGCCGGCCGGGGCUCCCGCCGCAUGCAAGCAGCGAGGCGAGGUCGCGCUGAGGCCUGGCCAUGCCACGGACGGCCGGGCCUCACCCUGCCGCUCUCUCGCCGUCCAGAGGCCCCUGCUCCACACCUGGGUACCCUGGGUCCUGACUCAGGGCAGCUGGGUGAGAAGCUAACGGCUUGAAGGAACAGGGCUACAAGGGGAGUUUGUGCUGGGCCUGGCGUCCCAGGCUGUGGACUGGAACUGGACAUGAGAACCCCCCCUACACCCUCCCAAGUCAAAGACACUCCAAAAAGA